UGGAGGAAAGUAGGGGAUCGAAAGACCUUGCGCUUUUGGAGCGGCCAAUGUCUGAUUAGCUAGUUGGUGGGGUAAUGGCCUACCAAGGCGACGAUCAGUAGUUGGUCUGAGAGGACGACCAGCCACACUGGGACUGAGACACGGCCCAGACUCCUACGGGAGGCAGCAGUGGGGAAUUUUGGACAAUGGGCGCAAGCCUGAUCCAGCAAUGCCGCGUGAGUGAAGAAGGCCUUCGGGUUGUAAAGCUCUUUCAGUCGAGAAGAAAAGGCUGCAGUGAAUAACUGUAGUUUAUGACGGUAUCGACAGAAGAAGCACCGGCUAACUACGUGCCAGCAGCCGCGGUAAUACGUAGGGUGCGAGCGUUAAUCGGAAUUACUGGGCGUAAAGGGUGCGCAGGCGGUUUUGUAAGUCAGAUGUGAAAUCCCCGGGCUUAACCUGGGAAUUGCGUUUGAAACUACAAAGCUAGA
rnacentral:rRNA from 1 species